GACGAACGCUGGCGGCGUGCUUAACACAUGCAAGUCGAACGGAAAGGCCCUGCUUUUGUGGGGUGCUCGAGUGGCGAACGGGUGAGUAACACGUGAGUAACCUGCCCUUGACUUUGGGAUAACUUCAGGAAACUGGGGCUAAUACCGGAUAGGAGCUCCUGCUGCAUGGUGGGGGUUGGAAAGUUUCGGCGGUUGUGGAUGGACUCGCGGCUUAUCAGCUAGUUGGUGGGGUAGCGGCUUACCAAGGCUUUGACGGGUAGCCGGCCUGAGAGGGUGACCGGCCACAUUGGGACUGAGAGACGGCCCAGACUCCUACGGGAGGCAGCAGUGGGGAAUAUUGCACAAUGGGCGGAAGCCUGAUGCAGCAACGCCGCGUGCGGGAUGACGGCCUUCGGGUUGUAAACCGCUUUCGCCUGUGACGAAGCGUGAGUGACGGUAAUGGGUAAAGAAGCACCGGCUAACUACGUG
rnacentral:rRNA from 1 species